GACGAGCGUUGGCGGCGUGCUUAAUACAUGCAAGUCAACUGAAGCAGUGGUAGCAAUAUCGCUGUGGAGGUGGCGCACGGGGGAGUAACACGUAGGUAAUCAGCCUUCAGGUCUGGCAUAACUCCGGGAAACCGGGGCUAAUAGCAGAGGAUGCAGCGGCGCACCAUCGGGACAGUUGUUAAAGCAAGGGCGCCUGAAGAUGAGCCGGCGUCUGAUUAGCUAGUUGGCGGGGUAACGGCCCACCAAGGCACCGAUCAGUAGCUGGUCUGAGAGGAUGAUCAGCCACACUGGAACUGAGACACGGUCCAGACUCCUACGGGAGGCAGCAGUAAGGAAUAUUGCUCAAUGGGUGAAAUCCUGACGCAGCAACGCCGCGUGAGGGACGAAGGGCUUUUGCUUGUAAAACUCUGUAGUGAGAGAAAAAAAUCCCAAUCUUUGGGACAUGAUGGUAUCUAAAAAGUAAGCCCCGGCUAACUACGUG
rnacentral:rRNA from 1 species